GACGAACGCUGGCGGCGUGCUUAACACAUGCAAGUCGAACGGAAAGGCCCUGCUUUUGUGGGGUGCUCGAGUGGCGAACGGGUGAGUAACACGUGAGUAACCUGCCCUUGACUUUGGGAUAACUUCAGGAAACUGGGGCUAAUACCGGAUAGGAGCUCCUGCUGCAUGGUGGGGGUUGGAAAGUUUCGGCGGUUGGGGAUGGACUCGCGGCUUAUCAGCUUGUUGGUGGGGUAGUGGCUUACCAAGGCUUUGACGGGUAGCCGGCCGGAGAGGGUGACCGGCCACAUUGGGACUGAGAUACGCCCCAGACUCCUACGGGAGGCAGCAGUGGGGAAUAUUGCACAAUGGGCGGAAGCCUGAUGCAGCAACGCCGCGUGCGGGAUGACGGCCUUCGGGUUGUAAACCGCUUUCGCCUGUGACGAAGCGUGAGUGACGGUAAUGGGUAAAGAAGCACCGGCUAACUACGUG
rnacentral:rRNA from 1 species